rnacentral:rRNA from 1 species
CCGGCGAUUUCCGAAUGGGGAAACCCAGUGUGUUUCGACACACUAUCAUUAACUGAAUCCAUAGGUUAAUGAGGCGAACCGGGGGAACUGAAACAUCUAAGUACCCCGAGGAAAAGAAAUCAACCGAGAUUCCCCCAGUAGCGGCGAGCGAACGGGGAGCAGCCCAGAGCCUGAAUCAGUAUGUGUGUUAGUGGAAGCGUCUGGAAAGGCGCGCGAUACAGGGUGACAGCCCCGUACACAAAAAUGCACAUGCUGUGAGCUCGAUGAGUAGGGCGGGACACGUGGUAUCCUGUCUGAAUAUGGGGGGACCAUCCUCCAAGGCUAAAUACUCCUGACUGACCGAUAGUGAACCAGUACCGUGAGGGAAAGGCGAAAAGAACCCCGGCGAGGGGAGUGAAAAAGAACCUGAAACCGUGUACGUACAAGCAGUGGGAGCACGCUUAGGCGUGUGACUGCGUACCUUUUGUAUAAUGGGUCAGCGACUUAUAUUCUGUAGCAAGGUUAACCGAAUAGGGGAGCCGAAGGGAAACCGAGUCUUAACUGGGCGUUAAGUUGCAGGGUAUAGACCCGAAACCCGGUGAUCUAGCCAUGGGCAGGUUGAAGGUUGGGUAACACUAACUGGAGGACCGAACCGACUAAUGUUGAAAAAUUAGCGGAUGACUUGUGGCUGGGGGUGAAAGGCCAAUCAAACCGGGAGAUAGCUGGUUCUCCCCGAAAGCUAUUUAGGUAGCGCCUCGUGAAUUCAUCUCCGGGGGUAGAGCACUGUUUCGGCAAGGGGGUCAUCCCGACUUACCAACCCGAUGCAAACUGCGAAUACCGGAGAAUGUUAUCACGGGAGACACACGGCGGGUGCUAACGUCCGUCGUGAAGAGGGAAACAACCCAGACCGCCAGCUAAGGUCCCAAAGUCAUGGUUAAGUGGGAAACGAUGUGGGAAGGCCCAGACAGCCAGGAUGUUGGCUUAGAAGCAGCCAUCAUUUAAAGAAAGCGUAAUAGCUCACUGGUCGAGUCGGCCUGCGCGGAAGAUGUAACGGGGCUAAACCAUGCAC